UGAGUGCGUGGCUCCACCUGGACAUGCCAUGCUCCAGUUCUUGUUCUGAGAAUGCUUGCUCUGCAGUUGCUUUGAAGGCUUUACCAAAAUCACCCAUCUGAAGUCGUACAUCAGAUGGCUGAAUUUCGUAAUACACGGGCAGAACAUGUCUGCAAUAAGUUUGGUGCCAUUUGAUGAUUUGUUGAAGCUGAUGAAGACACCACUCAGAUUGAGAGUAGGCUGUGGUGAAAACAACAAUGGCUACACGAGAGUGAUUGAGAAUAGGUUGUUGGAAGUGAAUUGGGUUGAGUGCAUUGGGGUGGUGAAGGAAAGUGGUGAAGCCAACAGCAGAGAGGGCAGAAUCGAGAUGAGAAACAAAUUUCCUUUGGAUGUCUUCUCCAUUAAAGUUUAUGAGCACAUCGUACUUCCUUGGGAGUUUGGAUGAUGAAGAAGCGAAUUCCAUGGAAGGAAUUGAUGAAGUCAUCAACUGAUAGAAGAAGAGGAUCAAUGCAACACAGUGAGUCAAAGAAAUGAUAUGAACAGACACAAAACCAUUCAAAGUAUUUUUUAAUAGUGGAGGAAGCGCGUUAACACCAUCAAUGUACCAUCAAUGAAACUUUUUUUACUUUAGCCAGUGAAGAAAUUAGACCAACGCCCACUCUGAAUCACAAACAAAAUAUAUUAGACUAAUAACUACGAAAAAGCUUAUAACAUCAUCAUCUAUAGAAAAAUAUAGAAAAGAUUUAAGGGUAAAAUAGUAAAAUUACAUAGGAGCUAAAGGGUAAAAGCAAUAUGUUCAUUAGAAAAAACUUUAAUAAAGAUUUGAGCCUCUAUUGUGUGUUUCAAAAAGAAGAAGAGAGGAAACUUGAUGGCUCCCUAGAGUGUAAGAGUUGCAGCGAUCGGAGAAGAAGUAGAAGGAAUAGCAAGUAACAAGAUAAAAAGAAACUCUGUUUUUACUUUUGUUAUUGUAUAUCACACUUAUAAUAAAGAGAUGUUUCCCUUUUUAUAGGCUUUUACAAAAACUAAAAUAAUAAACUUAUAUGAGUGGAUAUGUGUAUUACUUUCUCAAUAUCCUCCCCUCAAGCUGGAUGAUGUAUAUUCAUCAUAUCAAGGUUGUUCACAAAAUUUUGGAAGGGAAUCCAUUGUAGGGUUUUUGUAAACAUGUCUACUAGUUGAUCAGAAGAUUGAAUAUGUAGGAGAUGCAGGAAUUUGUCUUGUAUUUUCUCACGAAUCACAUGGCAUUCAAUGUCAAUGUGUUUCGUUCUUUCAUGAAAGUUAGGAUUAUGAGCUAUGUGGGGAGUCGAUUGAUUAUCACAAUAGAGAGUAACAGGAUCAGGUGUUUGUACAAAGUAUAUAGUUGAUAUCCAUUGUAGUUCACGAGCAAAAGCCGCGAGUGCUCUGUAUUUUGCUUCAAAAGAAGACCUAGAAAUAGUGUGUUGUUUAUUUGUUUUCCAGAAAUUAAGAGUAGUCUAGGAAAAUGCAAUACUCAGUGGUAGAAUGUCUUGUGUUAGAACAAGAUGCCCAAUCUGAGUCACUAAAGGCCUUAAUGUGAACUUCAGAUUCUCGUUAAAAAAUAACUCAUGCGUAGGAUUAGCUUUGAUGUAGCGUAGAAUAUCUUGCACAUCUUGUUGAUAAUAAACUGUAGGUUCUUGAACAAAUUGGCUAAGGAGUUGGAUAACAAAGGUUAUAUCAGGUUUAGUGUUGGUGAGAUAUAGGAGUUUUCCAAUUAGUAUUCUAUAAGGAUUGGGAUUUUGAAGUUUAUAUAUAGUUUCAAAAAAAACUUUAGUGUUAGACAUAAGAGGAGUAAAACAAGGUUUACUUCCUAGCAUUCCAGUUUCUUCCAAAAUGUCAACGGCGUAUUUCCUUUGACAUAAAUGAAUUCUUUUCUUAGAUCUUUCGACUUCAACACCCAAGAAGUAUUUUAGUUCACCAAGAUCUUUUAUCUUAAAAGAAUCAUUUAGGAAGUAUUUAAUUCUUUCAAUUUCUUGUAAUGAAUCUCUUGCAAGGAUAAUAUCAUUUACAUAAACAAGUGAAACAAUGAGAGAUUUUUUAGUUUUUAAAAAAUAGAAUAAUCAGACAUAGAUUGAGAAAAACCAAAAGAAAUAAGGGAAGAAGAUAGCUUAGCAAACCACUGUUUGUUGGCCUAUUUUAAACCACAAAGAGACUUUGUAAGUAUGCAAAAGUGAUAUUUUCAUUGACCAGAAAAUCUAGUAAAAGACACUAGUACAAAUUGUUAAUAUGACACUAUAUAAAGUUGAUUAUAAUAACACCAUCGUUAAAAAAUGUGUGGUGGCAAUGUGAUAAUUAUUUUGUAGUUUUAUAACGACAAUUCCCUAGUGAAUCGUCGCUAUAUUUGCAAAAUGUGAAAAAUAACGACGGUUUCCUAUGCGAACCGUCAUUAUAUAUGCAUCGAAGUCAAAAAAUUACGACGAUCUACGUGUGAACUAUCGUUAUUUUGGUAUUUAUUUUUCCUACACUCACAACUUAACAUAUUUAUUCACUCUUCAUUGUCCCGCUACCUACUUCGUUCUUUGUCUUCACUAUUUUCUUCACUGCCAUCUACUUCCAGCCAAAGGUCCCCUGCCCACGCUGCUUACGUCCUUCUCGUGCCACCGCCACCACCGCUUUCAUCUUGGUCGCACCAUCAUCGUUUCGUCUUCUCCCAUUUCCCGCUCCUCUCUACCGCCAUUAUUGGCACAAGUCCUUCUUGUGACUACCAGCACCGCUUACGAACCUCUCCUCCAUGGGUCAAACCCCCGCGUACACAUCUCUCCUUUGCACGCUGCCAACACCUCCACCACACACACACGCUGCCAUGACUAGUGCACGGUGCCUCCCUAAACCUAAAUUUUUUAAUUAAUUUUAUAAUAAAUAUUUGGAUGUACAUGUUGAUUAGUUAGUAUUAGGGUUUUUGGGAACUUCAUUUACUUGAUAUUUGAGGGAGGAGUCCUAACAUUGAAGAAAAGAGUGAUAAAUUUGCAAUUGGCAAAAAUUAGCAUGAAAAAACUUUAAACGUUCAUAACUUUUGAUAGAGAAGACGAAUGGAGUUGCGUAGACCCUAAACCAUAAACUCUAAACCCAAAUCCCAAAUCAUAAACCCUAAACCCUAAACCUAUAAAAUGUACAAUUCUAAAAGAAAGUCACAUCAGGUUUGCACCCACUUAUAUACUAUGAAAUGUCCUAAUCUUUAGUCAAUGUGGGAUCUCCAACACACCCGUUCACGUCGAGGCUACCAACUCGUGUGUAGGACUAUAUAUUAUGGGUGGUCUGAUAACGGCUAAAUAACGGGUGGCUUGAUAAGCCCAACAAACAAUCGCUAGGAUAGACUCGAAAUGACUUUAAUACCAUAUUGAAAAAGAUAGAAAAGAUUUAAGGGUAAAGUAGUAAAAUGAAAAAGGUGCAAAAGGGUAAAAGCAUAUGUGCAUUAGAAAAAACUUAAACAAAGAUUUGAGCCUCCACUUUGUGUGUGUCCUGUAUUUUCUCACGAAUCACAUGACAUUCAAUGUCAUUGUGUUUCAUUCUUCCAUGAAAGCUGGGAUUAUGAGCUAUGUGGGGAGCCAAUUGAUUACAAUAGAGAGUAGCUGGAUCAGGUGUUUUUACAAAGUAUAUAGUUGAUCCAUUGUAGUUCACAAGAAGUAGCCGCGAGUGCUCUGUAUUCUGCUUUAGAAGAAGACCGAGAAAUAGUAUGUUGUUUCUUUGUUUUCCAGGAAAUAAGGGAAUAGCCCAGGAAAAUGCAAUAGUCAGUAGUAGAAUGUCUUGUGUUAGAACAAGAUGUCCAAUCUAAAUCACUAAAAGGCUUAAUGUGAACUUCAGAUUCAAUGUUAAAAAAUAAUUCAUGUGUAGGAUUAGCUUUGACGUAGAAUAUUACCAAAAUUAAAUCAGAAAGCUUAAGUUUGGUGAUUGAGUGAGUGACGUACAUCAGAUGGCUCAAUUUCGUAAUAAACGGGCAGAUGAUGUUGGCUAUAAGUUUGGUGCCAUUUGAUGAUUUGGUGAAGCUGAAGAAGACACCAAGCAGAUUGAGAAUAGGAGUUGGUGAAAACAACAAUUGCUACACGACAAAGAUUGAGAAUAGGUUGUUGGAUGUGAAUUGGGUUGAGUGCAUUAGGGUGGUGAGGCCAACAGCAGAGAGGGCAGAAUCGAGAUGAGACACAAAUUUCCUUUGGAUUUCUUCUCCAUUAAAGUUUAUGACCACAUCGUACAUCAAAGUAACUGCAGAGAGAGAGCAUUUAUAUUUGAAUAGAUUCGUAAACAUUUGUCUUCUAUAACAUUUUUAAUUUUAUUUUAUACGGAUUCCACAGUACCACAUUACUUUUAAUAUUUUGUAUAAAAAAUUUGGAAGAGUUUUAUAAGUCACACUUUCAUUAUUUUUUUUUGACAAAAAAUAUAUAUAUUCAAAAUAGAAAAAUAAUAAUUUUUAUUUUUGUAACUUAGGAUAUUAUCUUUUUAUGCCGCAUCGAUAUAUUUGAGUGAGUCUUAUAAGAUUUAAAUCUUAAUUAUAUAAUUUGAUAUAUGAGCUUUGGAAUGAAGAUACCUUAAAGUUAAAUAAGUAAUUAAAAUUUUAGCAAUAUAGGAUAUGGUUUUUGAAAAUGAUAUUUGGAUAAAGUUGGCCAGAUUAAAGAAAUUAUUUUGAAGAUUUUGAUAAUAUAUAAAUAGAUUGAAAUGAGUACAGUCUUUAAAGUAUUUCAAUAAUAAAAAGAUUGAAAGAUAAGUUGUAAAGUACGAUCGAGUAGUUGAUCAUUAUCAAUAAUCAAAACUAUCUGAAAUCCUACUUUAUAACUCUUUGUAUCAUAAAUUAUCAUGACUUGUCAAACCGAUGCAUUGCAUUUGUAUUGAGGUUCUUAUUUGACUCUAACAAAUAAGAUAAACAGCUGAAGUGAAGAACAAUUUGAGGAGUGAGAAACAAGGCUAAAAUAAACAUGAAUUUCUUAACAAUAAGCUAUACUGGAAAAGACGAAAAAAGAUGAAGUGGAAGCAAGGAAACAAUGAUUAAUUCCAUAACUGGAUCCUGCUGUUCUCAAAAGAAGAUAAAUGACUUACCUGAAGUCACAUAACAUUACAAUUUUCUUUAUGAAUCUAAGGAGACAAUUUUCCUUUGGCUUUGAUUCACCACAUAUGGGAUAGACAACUGUGUUCUCGACAACCAAUCCAUGACCAAAACUCAAAAAAAUCUCCACCUUGUCUCCAUAUCCUAAAUUUGACGAUAUACCCUGCCAAUCUAUAUAAUUAAAUGAAAUUACUGUGCCAUGGUUGUGUAUAUGCAAUGUGCACUUUGUGUAGUUAACAAUUAAGACAUUUCUAAGACAUUCAGUUGCGUCUAUUUCAGGGGUUGAUGAAUAAACAACACACAAAACCAUUCCCUUCAAGUCCCGAUCUAAAGGCACAGUGAAAGAAACAGAAUGUUCCUCACCCAUAUGGCCCAACCAAUAAGGAUCAUUGUCAACUGGGAGACAAACAUCACAUGACUCACUGCUUACUGUUACCUGUACCAUAUGAUAAAAAGCUUAGACAUUUUUAUAAUUUUUGCUAUUCAAAUUAUCUUCUGCAACCAUUAUUUGUCAUAAAAAAUUACAAAAAUAUAAUACAAUUUGUUGUGUUAUAUCAGCAUCAUGUCGUCAGGGAUUUAGAAUGCAUAUCUGUGUUCAUCUCUUUCAGUUUAUAUUUCUACAAUCGUUAGGAAUAAAUCAUGAAACUAAUAAAGCAAGAAAGUCGAAAUCAAUUUCCCUGUACUUAGAUAUUCAUUAGGAUUAUUUUGUGUUCUCUUAAUUGCUAAAGUCAGGGUGAAGGUGAUAAACCAAAGGGAAAGCUAGAGAAGAACCUUAGAGACGUUAUGGCUGACAGCAUUGAAGAAUUCAUGGUAUGCUCCAACACCAAUCAAAGAAGACCUGAAGUGCUGCUUUGAAAUUCCUGAUUCUGUAUUAGUUGCAAAAUAUUCUACCAAAAUAUUUUUCAAUUGCUUAGACAGUUGAAACUCGGUGUCACAUUGCACCAAAACACUUCGAAGAUUUGCCAGGCUGCUAAGCAAUGGCGUCAUAUCAUCCCAACUAUUAUCCUCCAUAUCCAUGCAAAACGAAUUAAUAUAAGAUAUGGAAAUCGUUGUUGGGGACAUCCAAGACCGAAUGAUAGAAGGAAAAAGAUUACGUGGCAAUCUCUCAAAUCCACGUAGGGAUAUAUAUCCAAUGCUUUUUUAUCUCACAAUUGAAAAGGGAACUUGUUUAACAGCAGUGUUUUCAGCAAUUAGAGUUAUCAAGGAUUUCAUUUGCACUGUAUCUUUUUCCAAUAGGUCAAUCAUAGAACACCCAGAGAGAAUGAGUGUUUUUAAAGAUUUCAACAUAUAUACCUCUGCGGGGAGAUUGCUCAAACUUGUACAGUCCUUCAAAUUUAGCAGUGUAAGAUUGGACAGACAUCCAAUAGAUUGGUGUACUUCUUGCAAUCCUGGACAAUCUUUGAGAAUGAGCUGUUCAAGACUUGAUAAUCCGGAAAAGUUAGGGGUUUCUAUUAAAUACUUGGAGUGACUAAGAUUAAGGACUUUGAGCCACCUCAAAACCUACACCGGGACAGUUUUUUUUACAAGUAUCAGAGAAGAAAAUCAAAAUGAAACAGCAGUAGGUUACUGUUUUUGUUUUAGUUAGCUUUGUGUUUUAAUAAAAAAUGGCACUUAAUAAAAAAACCUGAGGUUCUUUCAAGAGGAGUCGAAGAUCAUUGUGUUUUAUGUCAAUCGCUAUUGCAUCAUGCAGAUGCAAGCCGUCACGUGGGUAUUCUGAAUAAGACCGUUGCAAACUGAUCCAUCUCAGUUUCCUAGAAAUGUACUCAGAAUUUCCAUCGAGUUUCAGCAGUCUUGAUGGUUCUCUUCUGGCUGAACGCAGUUUCACAGGCAAUUCCCAACGGUCCUGUGAUAAAAAGAGCAAAGAAUAACAAAUGUACUGAAAAUGAGAAAGCAAACACUUCCAAGAGAAGUUUUAAAAGGCAUAUAUAAAGAAUGUUCUUACUGAGUUAUCUGUCAAUACAUAUUCUGCAUCAUCAAACUGCAGUCUCCUCCUCUCCAUCCAAAACUCUUCUUCUGAAAUUUCACUAAUAAUUUCUCUUCCCAUUUCUUGUAGCAAAGGAUGCAUUCCAAGUUUGUCGUUCUUUUUAAUUUUUAUGAGGCUACUUUCUAUCAGAACUCUUAUUCCAGUAUCAGCAUCUACUCCACAGCCAUUUAGAAUCUUGGUAACAUAGGAUCUGCCCUUACCAACGAAGAAACAACAUAUAUCAAGGAAUAAAUCUUUUUCCAUUUCAUUGCGUAAACCAUCGAAGCUUAUUUUCAAUUUCCGUUGAAUGUCGUGCAGGGGAAUUUUCUCUAAUUUUAACAAAACACUAUUCCAUUCUUCUUUUGUCCUUUCAUAUAAACAAUUUCCAAUGACUUCAAGAGCUAGAGGUAGUCCUCCACAAUGACUAACUACACUUUUUGCAAGGUAAUUGUAUUCUUCUUUUGGUUUUGCUUCUCCAAAUGCAUGCCAACUAAGAAGCUCGAGAGACUCGUCUUCGUCCAUUAGCUUUAACCGAAAAACAGAAUCAACUUGAAGAAUCCUCGGUAGGUCUACAUCUCUUGUUGUAAUGAUUAUUACAGUUCCUCCACUGAACCAUUCAACGCAUUUCCAUACUAGUGAUGCAUCAAACUCAGGCACAUCGUCAAGUACAAUAAGCACCCUUUUCCCAGAAAGUCUUUCCCGAAUCAUUCUUCGCUCCAUCUCAUUGCUAGGUAUUUCAACCUUUGUUUUUAGGACAUCUAAAAGAAGUUGUUCAUCUAAACGAAUAUUCGAUCUUGUUUCACUAAGAUGUGCAAUAUCUUCAAUGAAACUUUUCUCCGUGAAUGUAGCACUAAGUUGAUUGUAGAUUGCUUUGGCAAGGGUGGUUUUACCAGAUCCCCCCGCUCCAGUUAUCCCUAUCGUAUAAACUUCGGUGUUAUUUUGGAUAGUUCCAAUCAGAUAUUGCACGUGAGACUGUAAUCCAACUGGGAAUUGAGAUGGUUGAAUUUCGUAAUAAACGGGCAGAACAUGUCUGCAAUAAGUUUGGUGCCAUUUGAUGAUUUGUUGAAGCUGAUGAAGACACCAAGCAGAUUGAGAAUAGGCUGUGGUGAAAACAACAAUGGCUACACGAGAGUGAUUGAGAAUAGGUUGUUGGAAGUGAAGUGGGUUGUGUGCAUUGGGGUGGUGAAGGAAAGUGGUGAAGCCAACAGCAGAGAGGGCAGAAUCGAGAUGAGAAACAAAUUUCCUUUGGAUUUCUUCUCCAUUGAAGUUGAUGAGCACAUCGUACUUCCUUGGGAGUUUGGAUGAUGAAGAAGCGAAUUCCAUGGAAGAAAUUGAUGACGUCAUCAACUGAUAGAAGAAGAGGAUCAAUAAUGCAACACAGAACCUUUUUUACUUCAGCCAGUGAAGAAAUUAGCCAACGCCCACUUUGAAUCCCUAAAAUAUAUAUUAUACUAAUAAUUACGAAAGUUUGUCUAUUUU
rnacentral:lncRNA from 1 species